rnacentral:rRNA from 1 species
GGCAGCAUGAACUUAGCUUGCUAAGUUUGAUGGCGACCGGCGCACGGGUGAGUAACACGUAUCCAACCUGCCGAUGACUCGGGGAUAGCCUUUCGAAAGAAAGAUUAAUACCCGAUGGCAUAAUUCUUCCGCAUGGUAGAAUUAUUAAAGAAUUUCGGUCAUCGAUGGGGAUGCGUUCCAUUAGGUUGUUGGCGGGGUAACGGCCCACCAAGCCUUCGAUGGAUAGGGGUUCUGAGAGGAAGGUCCCCCACAUUGGAACUGAGACACGGUCCAAACUCCUACGGGAGGCAGCAGUGAGGAAUAUUGGUCAAUGGACGAGAGUCUGAACCAGCCAAGUAGCGUGAAGGAUGACUGCCCUAUGGGUUGUAAACUUCUUUUAUACGGGAAUAAAGUGAGGCACGUGUGCCUUUUUGUAUGUACCGUAUGAAUAAGGAUCGGCUAACUCCGUGCCAGC